rnacentral:lncRNA from 1 species
UUUCACUUUCUGAGGUGAGACCCUAUCCUUUUUGAGUUUUCUUCAUGUUUUCAUCAAAUCAUGCAAAGGUUUGAUUGAGUUUUUAUGGAUUUUGAAGGUUUUGAGCUAAAAACACAAAGUUGUGCAUGUUGGAGAGUUUGAAGGAGAGUUGCUCCAAAACUCCACGUUAGGAUCGUUCAUCUUCUUGGUUUCAAGAGGUAAGUGAAGAUCCUGAGCUUGUUUUCAUGAUUUAUGGAAGAUUUUUGAGGUUUUGGGGGAGAGUUGCAUGAAUAGGGUAAAAAGAGAGGUUUUGAUGAUUUUGUGAACAAAGCUUGUAUAUGUGUUAUAUGUUUUGUGUUGUUGGGGUUUUUUAGGUAGUUUUUGACCCCUUUGAGCAUAUACUUGGGUGUAUGCAUGUUGAGGCAGUGAGGUGUUUGAGUUUGGGAGAGUUUGGUGCAUUUUGGCGUGAGGCAGAGCAAGGUUCUGCCUUGCUAAUGAACCCAGCUUCGGCCGCCGAAGAAUGGUUCAGCCGCCGAAUGUGCUGAGGAGGUGGCUUCGGCUGCCCAAGCUUGCCCCCGAGCCUUUGGACUUUCGGCUCUAGAAGGGAGAUUCGGCCGCCGAAGGUGCCGCCGAAGGGUAGAGACUUUCGUCUCUGGAGUGCCUUUCAGCCCCCGAAACUUGCCCCCGAAAGGGUUCGGCUGCCGAAAGUUGAGAUUCGGCCGCCGAAGGUGCAUGAGUUUCGUCUCUGGAGAGGACUUUCGGCCGCCGAACCUGCCGCCGAAAGUGUCCUGUCCAGCCUUCCUUUGCAUGCUUUGCAUGGAUAUUUGAGUGAGUUUAAGGGGAUUCUUGGGGAGUGUUUUAGAGUUGUUCAUAAGCUAGUUUGGUCCCUCAUUUGAGUUUAUCUGUGCCUACACAAACCAGAGGAACCAGAGAGAGCAGCAGUGAGUACUGCUCCAGAGUUACAGAGCCUGCAGCGUCAGUUCAGAUAGCCAGAGGUGAGUGGAACUAAACUUAAUACUCGUUUUAAUUGAGACAUUGAAUGCUUUUAGCAUAUUUCAUGCACCAUACUUAUGCCAUAGGUUGAUUGCAUUAGAAGCACGAAGAUGUUGCAUUGCAUAGUUAUGUGUUGAUGUGGGUGAAUGUUGAAUGAUCCAAUAGUUCUAGACAGGAAGUCCAGGACCCCAUUCUACGGCCUGGCAAGUAUAGAAAGUCCAAGACCCCAUUCUACGGCCUGGUAGGUAUAGUAAAGACCAGGUGCCCAGUCUACGCCCUGGCAAAUGGUAAGUAUAGGUGUUAUAUACACAUAUACAUAUAUAGUACAGGAAGACUAGGACCCCAGUCUACGGCCUGGCACGGAACAGUUACUGGGACUAUGUGGUGACAGGUUUACCCUUGUUGUGGAUUGUCUGUGAUAUGAUGCAUUCCAUAAGACCAUGUUUUAAUGACCUGUUUUUCUAUUCUACUCACUGGGCUAUAGAGCUCAUCCCACUCUCUUAACCCCAGUCUUGCAAGUUCAGUGUACAGUGUACAGGGGAAGUCCAACAGAGUACAGGAAGAGAGAAGAGUUGUGUAAUAGACUCUUGUGGACAUGUAAUAUUAAAGAUGUAACAGCUAUGUAAAGUUAGAGUUGUGCUUGACUUAGUUAUUUUGUGUUGUAAAUCUUUUGUAUACAUGAUCUGUUUAUAUAACUGUUGUACAGAGUAUGUGAAAAACCAGGCUUAACAGGUAUGAGUUAAUCCAUCUAGAGCCAGCUCUAGUCAGGGAUACAGAGUACAGAGUACAGAGUACAGAGAUAGUGCAUGCACAGGUUAAGCCUUGGUGCAGAAAAGAGUUUUAUUUUUCACAGAAAAUGUAUGAUCAUGUAUGAGAUUUACAGGUACACAGAGAGUAUAGCAAGCUUGCUACGGGUUCUGGUGGCCUUAAGCCGACCUGAAUCCUAGCGCCGGUGACGGUCCAUUUUGGGGUCAUUACAGAUUGGUAUCAGAGCCCUAGGUUCACAUGAUCGGACCUAUAGAGAGAGUGUCGGGCUCAUAGAGUUUAGAGGAAGUCAAGCACAAUAGGAAAUCAUGUCCACUAGGAUAGGAUGUUGAGUCCUGUCUAUUUGCUGCUAUGAAAUGCCAGGAUAUGCAUGUGCAUGUUUAAGAUAUAUGAGUUCACUAUAUGCUGAUAUGUUAUGUGAUGUGUUGUGUUUUCCAGAGUUACCAUGUGAGGAACUCGUCAAUCAGCUCGAUGAGGUACAGUUAGAGGAGGAAGAUCAGAGGAAGUAAGGGAGGCUAUGGCGAGUGACCAGUCGAUGGAUGAAAGCAUGGGUAUGGGUAGAUCUGAAGAAGGUAUGGGAGAGUCGCAGGGAGGCGUUCAGGCCUCAGGUUUUGACUAUCCAUCCUUUCCUCAGGACCCAGGGUAUCCGAUGGAAGGUAUGUCGGAGUACUCUAGUUUUGUUCCAUAUCCUACUUACAUGCCAUAUACGCCUUAUCCUCAUUAUUACCCACCAUAUCCUAUGUAUCCACCUUCCCCUACCCAUCCAAGUGCAGCACACCCAGAGCUAAAUGAACCAGUACCUUUACCACCACAACCAGAACCAGUAGCCCCUAUUGUUGAAAGACAUCAACCUAGCUCAUCUGGAGGUAAGGUGCAAAUGACAGAGUACUUGAAAUUGGAUGCUCCUAAAUUCAAUCCGGGAGAUGAUCCAUUUGAAUACCUCAGAUCAGUUAGGAUGAUAACCAGUGAAUUGGGAGCAGAUGAUAGUAGAGCCAUUGAAAUGGCAGGGUUCACACUGAAAUGUAAGAAAGCCAGAGAAUGGUUCAAGAACUAUAUAGAGCCCAGGAGUGACAGCAUGUCAUGGGGAGAGUUCGCCAAUGAGUUUGCAGGGUGGGCUUUUCCUGAUAGCUCCAGGGAGAUGAAAGUCAUUGAAUUUGAGCAGUUGAGACAGACAGACGAGAUGAGUGUUGAUGAGUUUACAGAUAAGUUCCUGGAUUUGCUUCAGUAUGUGGGUCAAGCCUAUGAUACUGAUCAGAAGAAGGCAAGGAGAUACACUAUGAGACUUCAUCCCAGGUAUUCUUUCUUGAUUCUUCCAGCAGAAAUGGAGAGUUUCCACUCUAUAGUGGAUGCAGCCAGGAAAAUGGAAGCAAGUGCCAAUAUACAGAGACAGUCAAGGGCACAGGCUUCGGGUUCUAAGGCCCCCAGUGCAGCAACUUCAGGUAGUAAAAGAUGGGAAAAGGCAAAAGGAACAAAGAGUAAGUUCUGGAAUAAAGUCAAGUCUGGUCUGGGAAUAGGUAGUGGCGCAAGCUCUGGCGCAAGCUCUGGCGCAAGCAGUUCAGUAUGUAGAAGAUGUGGGAGACCACACAAGGGAGCUUGUCAGUUGGGAUCUUCAGCUUGCUUUAGAUGUGGACAGGAAGGGCAUUUUGCUCGGGAUUCUCCUCAGGUGACGUUUGCACCAUCCCAGCAGAUGAGUUCAGGCAGUGUAGUACAGCCAACAGCUCCAACCGUACCUCAGAGUAGUGGCAGAGGUAGAGGGAGAGGGGCAGCCUCUACUUCAGCAGCAGGUUCCCGAGGUGGAAAUCCGGUAGCCCCAGCACGGAUUUUCACUGUGACACAGGAGGAGGCUAACACGUCGAACACAGUGGUGUCAGGUAAUCUCAUCAUAGGGUGUUCAGAUGUGUAUGCUUUGAUGGACCCUGGUGCUUCUCAUUCCUUUGUUGCUUCGAGAGCCAUAGAGAGGUUGGGUUUGAUGAUUUCUGAGUUAGAGUAUCCUCUCUGGGUCAGUGGACCCAAGUGUGAUCCAUCAGUGGCAGUGUCAGUCUGUCAUUUCAGUCCAAUAUUCAUAGAGGGUAGAUGCCUUCCAGCUGACCUUGUGGUUCUAGACUUGACAGAUUUUGAUGUCAUUCUAGGGAUGGAUUGGUUAUCUGCAUAUGGUGCGACCUUGGACUGUAGAGAGAAGGUAGUUAGUCUCAGAGAUCAGGAUGGGUCAGAGUGUGUCUUCAGGGGAGACAGGAGAGGUAUACCCAGAGGGUUGAUUUCGGCCCUUCAGGCUCGUCGUUUGCUUAGGAGGGGUUGUCAGGGGUUUCUAGCUCAUGUGAGAGAGCUAGACAGUCAGGUUAGGGAACCAGCCACAGUACCAGUAGUUCGCAAAUUCCUAGAUGUGUUCCCAGACGACUUACCAGGACUACCACCUGAUAGGGAGAUAGAGUUUGAAAUUGAAUUGCUGUCUGAUACCAGACCUAUCUCUAUUCCUCCCUACAGGAUGGCACCAGCAGAACUACAAGAGUUGAAAAAGCAGUUGCAGGAUUUGGUAGAUAAGGGUUUCAUCCGCCCUAGUACCUCACCUUGUGGAGCUCCAGUGCUCUUUGUCAGAAAGAAGGAUGGAUCCCUCAGACUUUGUAUCGACUACAGACAGUUGAACAAGGUCACUACCAAGAAUCGGUAUCCUUUACCUCGGAUUGAUGAUCUAUUCGACCAGCUAGCUGGAGCAGGUUGUUUCUCUAAAAUAGAUCUGAGAUCUGGGUAUCAUCAGUUGCGAGUCAGAGAGGCAGAUGUGCCAAAGACAGCUUUCAGGACCAGAUAUGGGCAUUAUGAGUUCUUAGUGAUGCCGUUCGGGUGGACUAACGCCCCUGCAGCAUUCAUCGAUCUUAUGAACUGAGUUUUCAGCGAGUUUCUGGAUCACUUUGUCAUUGUUUUUAUCGAUGAUAUCUUGGUAUAUUCCAGAGAUGCAGAGGAGCAUGCCCAGCAUCUGAGGAUAGUUUUGCAGAUACUGAGAGAGCAUGGUUUGUAUGCCAAGUUCUCUAAGUGUGAGUUUUGGUUGAGGAGCAUUUCUUUCUUGGGACAUGUGGUAUCAGCAGAAGGGAUUGAGGUAGACCCCAAGAAGAUAGAGGCUGUAGCUAACUGGCCCAGACCCACUACAGUGACUGAGAUCAAAAGCUUUUUGGGACUAGCAGGUUACUACAGGAGGUUCGUUCAGGACUUCUCGAAGAUAGCUGCUCCUAUGACCAAAUUGACUCAGAAGAACCAGAAGUUUAUCUGGUCAGACUAGUGUGAAGAGAGCUUUGAGGAGCUCAAGAGGAGACUGACAUCAGCACCAGUGCUAGCUCUGCCUGUUAGUAAUGAGGAUUUCACAGUGUUCUGUGAUGCGUCUCGAGUGGGAUUGGGUUGUGUUUUGAUGCAGAGUGAUAGGGUGAUUGCUUAUGCUUCUAGACAGUUGAAGAAGCACGAGUUAAAUUACCCCACCCAUGACCUAGAGAUGGCAGCAGUUAUCUUUGCACUCAAGAUGUGGAGGCAUUACCUCUACGGGGUGAAAUGCGAGAUCUUCACUGAUCAUAAGAGUUUACAGUACAUCCUGAGUCAGAGAGAGUUGAAUUUGAGGCAGAGAAGAUGGGUAGAAUUGCUCAGUGAUUAUGAUUGUACGAUCCAGUAUCAUCCGGGUAAGGCGAAUGUUGUAGCAGACGCCCUAAGCCGGAAGUCACUAGGCAGUUUAUCCCAUAUAGCAGCAAAGCGGAGACCAGUAGUGAUGGAGCUUUAUAAGCUCAUUGACGAAGGGUUACAGCUAGAGUUGUUUGGUACGGGUGCAUUGAUAGCACAGAUGAGAGUGACACCAGUGUUUCUGGAGCAGAUAGCUCAGAAACAGCAUGAGGACCCAGAGUUGAUGAAAAUUGCUAGGACUGUUCAGUCAGGCAAUAGUACAGAGUUCAGAUUUGAUAGCAAAGGGAUCCUUCGCUAUGGGAGUCGCCUUUGUGUGCCAGAUGUUAGUAGUCUGAAGGAAGACAUUAUGAGGGAAGCUCAUAAUGCGAGGUAUAGUGUUCACCCAGGAACCACCAAGAUGUAACAGGAUUUGAAGAGGGUAUAUUGGUGGCCAGCCAUGAAGAAAAAAGUGGCGCAGUUCGUGACAGCCUGUGAGGUUUGUCAGAGGGUGAAACUGGAACAUCAGAAGCCGGCUGGAAUGCUUAACCCACUGCCGAUUCUAGAAUGGAAAUGGGAGCACAUAGCUAUGGAUUUUGUAGUGGGCUUACCGGCAGCGUCCAACAGGAUAGACUCCAUAUGGGUGAUUGUGGACAGACUCACGAAAUCUGCUCAUUUCAUUCCAGUGAGGAGUAACUAUUCUGUAGAUCAACUGGCACAGGUAUAUCUUGAUGAGAUAGUGAGAUUACAUGGAGUUCCAGUGUCUAUAGUUUCAGACAGAGGACCUCAGUUCACCUCCAGAUUUUGGCAAAGUCUGCAGAGUGCGAUGGGCACGAGAUUGGAUUUUAGCACUGCUUUCCACCCACAGACUGAUGGGCAAUCAGAGAGGACCAUCCAGACCAUAGAGGAUAUGCUCCGAAUGUGUGUGUUAGACUUUGGCGGUUCUUGGAGGCAGCAUCUACCUCUGGUGGAGUUUGCCUACAAUAACAGCCAUCAUGCUAGCAUAGGGAUGGCUCCUUAUGAAGCAUUCUAUGGAAGGAAGUGCAGAUCACCUGUUUGCUGGGAAGAGGUAGGAGAGAAGGCUCUUGCAGGGCCAGAGUUAGUAGAGAUUACCAGUAAAAUAGUACCUAUGAUCAGAGAGAGGAUCAGAACAGCUCAGAGUCGACAGAAAAGCUAUGCAGACGUACGCAGAAAACAGAUAGAGUUUCAGGAGGGUAGUAUGGUGUUGCUGAAGGUGUCUCCAAUGAAAGGAGUGGUUCGGUUUGGAACGAAAGGUAAGUUAGCUCCACGAUACAUUGGACCCUUUGAGAUUGUACAGAGGAUCGGAAAUGUGUCGUAUAAGCUGGAUUUACCUGCUUCUAUGGAGAGAAUUCACCCGAUAUUUCAUGUUUCUAUGCUACGGCAGUUUGUGUCAGAUCCGAAUCAGGUUCUGAGUGAGCCUGAUGUGGAGGUCCUUGGAGAUCUCACCUAUAUAGAGCAGCCAGUGCGGAUUCUGGACACACAAAUCAGGCAGCUAAGGAACAAGGAAAUUCUGAUGGUGAAAGUCCUGUGGAACCACCAUAAUCUUGAGGAGUGCACGUGGGAGACGCGAGAGUCUAUGCUCCAGCAGUAUCCAUAUCUAUUUUGAGGUUAGUUUCCUCCUUGUUAUGUGUUUCUGAUUUGUUUUAAGGACCAUUAGAGGACAAAUGUUCUUAAGGGGGGAGAAUGUAAUACCCGGCGAGAGUCCGGCAUCGGAAUUCCUAUCGUCCGGUGGAAUCCAGGAUGUCGGAAUUCUCUAGACGGGUAGAAUUUAUGUUUUUCUAAAGUCAUGAAGCAUGUUUUCAUGUUUUCACGUUAAAUGGAACUAAGUUUUUGAAAGAAAGAACCAAGGCAGAAAAGCCAAGUUCGGCCGCCGAACAUGCAUGGCUUUCGGUUUCACAAUAGGCCGCCGAAGGUGGUCUGGCCAGCCACCUAUAAAAGGCCCUCAGUCGGUUGAAAGGAUAAGCUCUGCCGUUUCUUUCACUUUCUGAGGUGAAUCCCUGUCCUUUUUGAGUUUUCUUCAUGUUUUCAUCAAAUCAUGCAAAGGUUUGAUUGAGUUUUUAUGGAUUUUGAAGGUUUUGAGCUAAAAACACAAAGUUGUGCAUGUUGGAGAGUUUGAAGGAGAGUUGCUCCAAAACUCCACGUUAGGAUCGUUCAUCUUCUUGGUUUCAAGAGGUAAGUGAAGAUCCUGAGCUUGUUUUCAUGAUUU